rnacentral:rRNA from 1 species
UAGCAGUAGGGGAUCUUCCACAAUGGACGAAAGUCUGAUGGAGCACCGCCGCGUGAGUGAAGAAGGGUUUUCCGGCUCCGUAAAACUACUGUUGUUAAAGAAGAACAUAUCUGAGAGUAACUCGUUCAGGUAUUGACGGUAUUUAACCAGAAAGCCACGGCUAACUACGUGCCAGCAGCCGCGGUAAUACGUAGGUGGCAAGCGUUGUCCGGAUUUAUUGGGCGUAAAGCGAGCGCAGGCGGUUUUUUAAGUCUGAUGUGAAAGCCUUCGGCUCAACCGAAGAAGUGCAUCGGAAACUGGGAAACUUGAGUGCAGAAGAGGACAGUGGAACUCCAUGUGA